rnacentral:lncRNA from 1 species
CUUGUAAUAGAAGCUUGGAUGGAGUCUACCUACAAUAGAAAUUCGGGGCAGAGGUCCGGCUCCCGUAGGAGCUCGGAUGAAAUCAAAAAGGUGGUCGACCGUCGUAGAAAUAUCGGUGGAGUCGGGUUGCUAUAGAAAUCUAUCCUCGGGGAAGUUCGGCCAUGGACGAAGUCUGAGAAAUUUGGAUUAGAAUCUAUCAUGGCUGG